CCGAACCGACUAAUGUUGAAAAAUUAGCGGAUGACCUGUGGCUGGGGGUGAAAGGCCAAUCAAACCGGGAGAUAGCUGGUUCUCCCCGAAAGCUAUUUAGGUAGCGCCUCGUGAAUUCAUCUCCGGGGGUAGAGCACUGUUUCGGCUAGGGGGCCAUCCCGGCUUACCAACCCGAUGCAAACUGCGAAUACCGGAGAAUGUUAUCACGGGAGACACACGGCGGGUGCUAACGUCCGUCGUGAAGAGGGAAACAACCCAGACCGCCAGCUAAGGUCCCAAAGUCAUGGUUAAGUGGGAAACGAUGUGGGAAGGCCCAGACAGCCAGGAUGUUGGCUUAGAAGCAGCCAUCAUUUAAAGAAAGCGUAAUAGCUCACUGGUCGAGUCGGCCUGCGCGGAAGAUGUAACGGGGCUAAACCAUGCACCGAAGCUGCGGCAGCGACACUGUGUGUUGUUGGGUAGGGGAGCGUUCUGUAAGCCUGUGAAGGUGUGUCGUGAGGCAUGCUGGAGGUAUCAGAAGUGCGAAUGCUGACAUAAGUAACGAUAAAGCGGGUGAAAAGCCCGCUCGCCGGAAGACCAAGGGUUCCUGUCCAACGUUAAUCGGGGCAGGGUGAGUCGACCCCUAAGGCGAGGCCGAAAGGCGUAGUCGAUGGGAAACGGGUUAAUAUUCCCGUACUUGGUGUUACUGCGAAGGGGGGACGGAGAAGGCUAUGUUGGCCGGGCGACGGUUGUCCCGGUUUAAGCGUGUAGGUGUGUGUUCCAGGUAAAUCCGGUUCACUUUAACACUGAGGCGUGACGACGAGGCACUACGGUGCUGAAGCAACAAAUGCCCUGCUUCCAGGAAAAGCCUCUAAGCAUCAGGUAACAUCAAAUCGUACCCCAAACCGACACAGGUGGUCAGGUAGAGAAUACCAAGGCGCUUGAGAGAACUCGGGUGAAGGAACUAGGCAAAAUGGUGCCGUAACUUCGGGAGAAGGCACGCUGACACGUAGGUGAAGUGAUUUACUCAUGGAGCUGAAGUCAGUCGAAGAUACCAGCUGGCUGCAACUGUUUAUUAAAAACACAGCACUGUGCAAACACGAAAGUGGACGUAUACGGUGUGACGCCUGCCCGGUGCCGGAAGGUUAAUUGAUGGGGUCAGCGCAAGCGAAGCUCCUGAUCGAAGCCCCGGUAAACGGCGGCCGUAACUAUAACGGUCCUAAGGUAGCGAAAUUCCUUGUCGGGUAAGUUCCGACCUGCACGAAUGGCGUAAUGAUGGCCAGGCUGUCUCCACCCGAGACUCAGUGAAAUUGAACUCGCUGUGAAGAUGCAGUGUACCCGCGGCAAGACGGAAAGACCCCGUGAACCUUUACUAUAGCUUGACACUGAACAUUGAGCCUUGAUGUGUAGGAUAGGUGGGAGGCUUUGAAGUGUGGACGCCAGUCUGCAUGGAGCCGACCUUGAAAUACCACCCUUUAAUGUUUGAUGUUCUAACGUGGACCCGUUACCCGGGUUGCGGACAGUGUCUGGUGGGUAGUUUGACUGGGGCGGUCUCCUCCUAAAGAGUAACGGAGGAGCACGAAGGUUGGCUAAUCCUGGUCGGACAUCAGGAGGUUAGUGCAAUGGCAUAAGCCAGCUUGACUGCGAGCGUGACGGCGCGAGCAGGUGCGAAAGCAGGUCAUAGUGAUCCGGUGGUUCUGAAUGGAAGGGCCAUCGCUCAACGGAUAAAAGGUACUCCGGGGAUAACAGGCUGAUACCGCCCAAGAGUUCAUAUCGACGGCGGUGUUUGGCACCUCGAUGUCGGCUCAUCACAUCCUGGGGCUGAAGUAGGUCCCAAGGGUAUGGCUGUUCGCCAUUUAAAGUGGUACGCGAGCUGGGUUUAGAACGUCGUGAGACAGUUCGGUCCCUAUCUGCCGUGGGCGCUGGAGAACUGAGGGGGGCUGCUCCUAGUACGAGAGGACCGGAGUGGACGCAUCACUGGUGUUCGGGUUGUCAUGCCAAUGGCACUGCCCGGUAGCUAAAUGCGGAAGAGAUAAGUGCUGAAAGCAUCUAAGCACGAAACUUGCCCCGAGAUGAGUUCUCCCUGAGACUUAAAGUCUCCUGAAGGAACGUUGAAGACGACGACGUUGAUAGGCCGGGUGUGUA
rnacentral:rRNA from 1 species